rnacentral:rRNA from 1 species
CCUACGGGAGGCAGCAGUGGGGAAUAUUGGACAAUGGGCGAAAGCCUGAUCCAGCCAUGCCGCGUGUGUGAAGAGGGCCUUCGGGUUGUAAAGCACUUUCAGUGGGGAAGAAAGCCUUGGGGCUAAUACCCUCGAGGAAGGACAUCACCCACAGAAGAAGCACCGGCUAACUCCGUGCCAGCAGCCGCGGUAAUACGGAGGGUGCGAGCGUUAAUCGGAAUUACUGGGCGUAAAGCGCGCGUAGGCGGUCUGAUAAGCCGGUUGUGAAAGCCCCGGGCUCAACCUGGGAACGGCAUCCGGAACUGUCAGGCUAGAGUGCAGGAGAGGAAGGUAGAAUUCCCGGUGUAGCAGUGAAAUGCGUAGAGAUCGGGAGGAAUACCAGUGGCGAAGGCGGCCUUCUGGACUGACACUGACGCUGAGGUGCGAAAGCGUGGGUAGCAAACAGGAUUAGAUACCCCAGUAGUC